AACGAACGCUGGCGGCAGGCCUAACACAUGCAAGUCGAGCGAGGACUUCGGUCCUAGCGGCGGACGGGUGAGUAACGCGUGGGAACGUGCCCUUUGCUUCGGAAUAGCCCUGGGAAACUGGGAGUAAUACCGGAUGAGCCCUUUGGGGGAAAGAUUUAUCGGCGAAGGAUCGGCCCGCGUUGGAUUAGGUAGUUGGUGGGGUAAUGGCCUACCAAGCCGACGAUCCAUAGCUGGUUUGAGAGGAUGAUCAGCCACACUGGGACUGAGACACGGCCCAGACUCCUACGGGAGGCAGCAGUGGGGAAUCUUAGACAAUGGGGGAAACCCUGAUCUAGCCAUGCCGCGUGAGCGAUGAAGGCCUUAGGGUUGUAAAGCUCUUUCAGCUGGGAAGAUAAUGACGGUACCAGCAGAAGAAACCCCGGCUAACUCCGU
rnacentral:rRNA from 1 species